rnacentral:rRNA from 1 species
GACGAACGCUUUUGGCGCGCCUAACACAUGCAAGUCGAACGAGCGAAAGAGAGCUUGCUUUCUCGAGCGAGUGGCGAACGGGUGAGUAACGCGUGAGGAAUCUGCCUCAAAGAGGGGGACAACAGUUGGAAACGACUGCUAAUACCGCAUAAGCCCACGGUGCCGCAUGGCACAGAGGGAAAAGGAGUAAUCCGCUUUGAGAUGGCCUCGCGUCCGAUUAGCUAGUUGGUGAGGUAACGGCCCACCAAGGCGACGAUCGGUAGCCGGACUGAGAGGUUGAACGGCCACAUUGGGACUGAGACACGGCCCAGACUCCUACGGGAGGCAGCAGUGGGGAAUAUUGCACAAUGGGGGAAACCCUGAUGCAGCGACGCCGCGUGGAGGAAGAAGGUCUUCGGAUUGUAAACUCCUGUUGUUGGGGAAGAUAAUGACGGUACCCAACAAGGAAGUGACGGCUAACUACGUGCCAGCAGCCGCGGUAAAACGUAGGUCACAAGCGUUGUCCGGAAUUACUGGGUGUAAAGGGAGCGCAGGCGGGAAGACAAGUUGGAAGUGAAAUCUAUGGGCUCAACCCAUAAACUGCUUUCAAAACUGUUUUUCUUGAGUAGUGCAGAGGUAGGCGGAAUUCCCGGUGUAGCGGUGGAAUGCGUAGAUAUCGGGAGGAACACCAGUGGCGAAGGCGGCCUACUGGGCACCAACUGACGCUGAGGCUCGAAAGUGUGGGUAGCAAACAGGAUUAGAUACCCUGGUAGUCCACACCGUAAACGAUGAUUACUAGGUGUUGGAGGAUUGACCCCUUCAGUGCCGCAGUUAACACAAUAAGUAAUCCACCUGGGGAGUACGACCGCAAGGUUGAAACUCAAAGGAAUUGACGGGGGCCCGCACAAGCAGUGGAGUAUGUGGUUUAAUUCGACGCAACGCGAAGAACCUUACCAAGUCUUGACAUCCCUUGACAGACAUAGAAAUAUGUAAUCUCUUCGGAGCAAGGAGACAGGUGGUGCAUGGUUGUCGUCAGCUCGUGUCGUGAGAUGUUGGGUUAAGUCCCGCAACGAGCGCAACCCUUAUGGUCAGUUACUACGCAAGAGGACUCUGGCCAGACUGCCGUUGACAAAACGGAGGAAGGUGGGGAUGACGUCAAAUCAUCAUGCCCUUUAUGACUUGGGCUACACACGUACUACAAUGGCGUUAAACAAAGAGAAGCAAGACCGCGAGGUGGAGCAAAACUCAGAAACAACGUCCCAGUUCGGACUGCAGGCUGCAACUCGCCUGCACGAAGUCGGAAUUGCUAGUAAUCGUGGAUCAGCAUGCCACGGUGAAUACGUUCCCGGGCCUUGUAC